rnacentral:rRNA from 1 species
UACGUAGGGUGCAAGCGUUGUCCGGAAUUAUUGGGCGUAAAGAGCUCGUAGGCGGUUAGUCGCGUCUGCUGUGAAAACUCGGGGCUUAACUCCGGGCCUGCAGUGGGUACGGGCUGACUAGAGUGCGGUAGGGGAGGCUGGAAUUCCUGGUGUAGCGGUGAAAUGCGCAGAUAUCAGGAGGAACACCGGUGGCGAAGGCGGGUCUCUGGGCCGUAACUGACGCUGAGGAGCGAAAGCGUGGGGAGCGAACAGG